AUACUUAGCUGGCAGGGAAGGUAUCAUGACCACAAAGGUGGUUUCCCAGGGUGAGGCUUAUCCAUUAUCUUUGGGACAUUCUGACUCCUGUGAUUUCCCCAAAUGCAGAAAACUCAACUGCAUAAUGUGUGGAAGCGGGGGAAUAUGCUCACAUUCUUCCCUA
ensembl:snRNA U1 U1 spliceosomal RNA